rnacentral:rRNA from 1 species
GACGAACGCUGGCGGUGUGCCUACUACAUGCAGGUAGAACGCAGUUGCGAACGGGUGAGUAACGCGUAGGUAACUGCCUGGUAGCGGGGGAUAACUAUUGGAAACGUUAGCUAAUACCGCAUACUACCAGAUGGCCCUGCGUUGUAUUAGCUAGUUGGUGAGGUAACGGCCCACCAAGAAAACGAUACAUAGCCGAGCUGAGAGGGUGAGCGGCCCCACUGUGACUGGCGCACGGCCCAUACUCCUGCGGUAGGCAGCAGUAGGGAAUCGUCGGCAAUGGGGGGAACCCUGACCGAGCAACGCCGCGUGAGUGAAGAAGGUUUUCGGAUCGUAAAGCUCUGUUGGUAAGGAAGCGGUACUUAACCAGAAAGGGACGGCUAACUACGUGCCAGCAGCCGCGGUAAUAC